UGAUAGAACGAAAACAAUCAACAUGUAGUUGUUAGCCUAUGGCGUGAGAAAAUACGACGUUACUGUAAUUAAUUGUGUAUAUGGGCUUGAUUGUAAAAUUGAUACGUGAACUGAACACAGGUGCAGCUUCAGGUAUCUGUAGAUGAUGUACUCCGACAAUCGUCCGUCGCUCAGUUCGGCGAAUUUUAACGCUCAUCCAACAGGAAAACAAACGUGCGGAAAACGCGGACUCCGAUGCGCUCCGAAACUUGCGACGAAGAUCACCGCGACACGUGACUAUAAUAUGCGAAUCAAACGAAACAUAGAGAAAAUAAAAUAAUAGGACGCGAAAACAGUCACAGUUUCUUAUCUGUGUAUUGGAAGUAUAUUUCUAUACUGUAAUAGUAUAAUAAAACGCGAUCAGUUAUUUGUGUCGCGAAUUUUAAUAUAAUUUUAAUAUAAUUUUAAUUUCGAUCGUAAUAUAAUGGCAUAUGUUUAAUAAUUGAGAUUAUCACGAUUGCACGAGCGUGUGGAUGCAAUUUCAAAUGUGUUUUCUGUACUACAUCGUAUAAAACUGGCGAUUUAUUCUAUAAUUCGAAUAUUCCUUGAUUCACGAUUAAUUAAAGAGUUUUAAAAUAAUUGAUGCAACUUCAAAUAUAAUAUCUACGUCGCAAUGAGAUAUUGUCGAUCUAUUCUAAAUUAAUUAUUAAUUUUUUUUAAACACGAUUACUCAAACUUUCGUAAAUUUAAGACACUAAAUCGAGCAUUCGGUUUCAUCCAGAUGAGUAUGUACAAUUAUAGAAAGUACAGAAUUUUUGGACUGGAGUUGCGUUCAUAAAAAUUCACUAUCAGCAUUGAAAAUUUAUAAUUUACGUGCACUAUAUAUAGAUUUUCAACGCUGGCAGUGAAUUUCGAGAAUACAGCCUGGAUAUGAAACUGUGUAUGCUUGUUAUAAUCAAAGUUCAUUGGAAUAAAAAUAAAGAUCGCAGUAUCUGAUAUUUUCCAACGUAACGUCCAUCGUUUGAUUCGACAUUCUUGAUCGUUUGCAGAAUUCGAUCUCGAAAAAACAUGUGUGAAGAAUGCGGAUCGAUUGUGUGCGAUUUCCGAAAAUGACUAUAAUAUGUGAUUAGACGAUUCAAAUAAGACAUACAGUACGCCGAACUGGAAGUAAAAAUAAUUAAGCCUACAUUAUCGCGCACUUCUUAUGGAUCAUCAAUGAAUAUAAGAUAAUAAUAAGACACGUUCGAAUUUUUCGCUUAUUUUGACGCACAAUUAAUAUUUCAAUCGUAAUAAUUUCGCCAGUAUAUUAAUGCGUGUGCGACCUGAAGUGUCUCGUCCUGACACGCUAUUCUAAUUCCAGUAUUUUCUAGAAUGUAAUUAAUUGAAGGAUCUCGCAUAAAUUUCAGAUAGAAAAUCGAACGUUCAGAUUUUAUGUAACGAAUAAUUAACGUCUUUCGUCGAAUGUCUAAUAUCAAAUUUUCUGGAAUAUGUAAUAUCCUCUGAAUAAAAUAUGAAUAUAUUUUCAUAAAUUGUCGGUAAAAAAGAAUAUUGAAGACCGUGUAAAAUUCUAAAUACAUAUGAGAGAUAUAUUCAUAUUUAUUGAAGAUGCAAUAUCGUUCACAAUUAUCUUAUUUGACUCGCACGAUCUGUUAUUUAAUUCCAUCUUGUCGUGAAGUAUAGCGGAAUUUUAUUAACUUAUUAAUUAAUGAAUUUUACUUAUACAAAUAAGUCAUAUUUUUCACCAUCAUUCUUCUAAAAUAAUUCGGUUUUUUUUUAUAUGAUAAGGUAAGAAUGACGCGCUAAUACAAUGAAUCGGAUAACUUAACGGGUCUUAACGAAUAAAGAACAAUCGGGCGUCGUGUACAUGAUAUAAAUAUAUUUAUGCGAAUAUUUCGUUACAUAAUCAUGUCUACAUAUUACGACACAUUACAGUGCUAAUAAAUGCUGUUAUUUUUAACUGGAUUCGUAGUGUAAAAGUUGAUUAAACCUUUUUUUUUUUGAUAAAA